GAGGAUUGGUGUAAUGGUAGCAUGACGGUCUCCAAAACCGUUCGUCAAGGUUCGAGUCUCCCCCCACCA
rnacentral:tRNA from 1 species